rnacentral:rRNA from 1 species
GACGAACGCUGGCGGCGUGCUUAACACAUGCAAGUCGAACGGAGAUUCAGCAAUGGAUCUUAGUGGCGAACGGGUGAGUAACGCGUAGGCAAUCUGCCUUCUAGAUGGGGACAACAUCCCGAAAGGGGUGCUAAUACCGAAUGUUGUACCGUUUCCGCAUGGAGAUGAUACUAAAGGUGGCCUCUGAAUAUGCUACCGCUAGAAGAUGAGCCUGCGUCUGAUUAGCUAGUUGGAGGGGUAACGGCCCACCAAGGCUUCGAUCAGUAGCCGGUCUGAGAGGAUGAACGGCCACACUGGGACUGAGACACGGCUCAGACUCCUACGGGAGGCAGCAGUGGGGAAUCUUCCGCAAUGGACGAAAGUCUGACGGAGCAACGCCGCGUGAGUGAAGAAGGUUUUCGGAUCGUAAAGCUCUUUCGUUAGGGACGAACGUGCUCUUUGUGAAUAAUGAGGAGUAAUGACGGUACCUAAAUAAGAAGCCACGGCUAACUACGUGCCAGCCGCCGCGGUAA